GUUCCUGCUCCGGCUCCUGCGGGGAUGGAUGCUUCACGCAGUAAGCGAGUAAGCGAGCCCUGGAGACCGGGGCCCUGGGUGUGCGGUCGGCUCAGUGCCACGCGGUGAGAUAGGCAUGGUUAUCAACCCACGCCAAGGCGGUUGUGUACCUGGCAUAGAAAACACUGCUGUUGAAUGUUGUUUCCAUAGUCAUUCGCCAGCGUCCACUGAUGAGAGGUGCCACCACGGACACCCGGCCUUGCUCCGUCGAAGCUUUGGUCCAUUAGGACCAAAGUCAGGCCCCAGCGGGCCUCCCUGCCAUUCCUGGACGGCCUCGCGUCCUCCCAGAGCCUGACCUUCUCUUAUCUCUGCAGCCUAAGUCGCGGAAGCGUAGACACCCGGCUUUUCCCGCGUGCUCUAUCGGGCUCCCCUGGACACGGAGGGUGGAGCAGAAAGAGCAGAGGGGCCGGUGGGAGCCAUGGGGAGUCCGCCUAGCUCCAGAGGACACCUUACCUGGAUCCGCCUUUGUAGCCUCCUCCUGGCUCUGGGGGCUGUCCUGUGGGGUCCGAGUAGCUGAAAGACAGCCCCUCCAUGUGAGGAAGCCCCCAACUGGGGAAAACCCCCUCGUGGACUCAUUCCUGUCCCUGCAUGUGGCCUUCACCUGACUGUCUGCAUUGAGGCAUCCUCUGCCAAGAGCAAUUUCAAAGUGGCAGGUCUUGGGAGAUGGGGUGCUGUAUUUGGGAGUAGGGGCGGGGAAGGGUUGAGGUGCCCUGGGAAAACUGGAGGAAGACAUUUUUAAUGCUCUUAUGAGGCUGGGAGCAGAGGCCAAGAGGGGCAGAGCAGAGCAGGGGUGAGGAGAAUGAGGCACUGGCCUGGGCACAGAAUUGAAGGGGCACCAAAAAUCGCAAUCAUCAAGGGAAAUCGUAUUUUAAUGCCAUAUUUUAAAACUCAAAAUUAACAAAAGGAAUCCAUGAUGAACGAACUAUCAACAUUUCAAGUAAAGACAGGAUCUGUUUCAUGGAUAUCUCCUUUUGCCUCAGGGUCCAAUAUGGAACGGCAUAGUUGAUUCUGUCUUUAUUUAAAAUUUUUGGCGGCGCGCGGUGGCUCAAGCCUGUAAUCCCAGCACUUUGGGAGGCCGAGGCGGGUGGAUCACGAGGUCAGGAGAUCGAGACCAUCCUGGCUAACACGGUGAAACGCCGUCUGUACUAAAAGUACAAAAAAAUUAGCCGGACGUGGUGGCGGGAGCCUGUAGUCCCAGCUACUCCGGAGGCUGAGGCAGGAGAAUGGUGUGAACCCGGGAGGUGGAGCUUGCAGUGAGCCGAGAUGGCGCCACUGCACUCCAGCCUGGGUGACAGAGCGAGACUCCAUCUCAAAAAAAAAUGAUAAUAAAUAAAAUAAAAUUUUGAUUUUUUGUUCAUCGUGGAUUUUUUUCCCCAUUACUUUUUGCAUUAACAUUAUUUAUCUUGAAUUCUGGCUGCUCUUAAAUUCUGCACCCAAGGCAAGUGGGCUUCACUCUAGUCCCAUUCCGGGAGGACGGUGGAUUCGUGAGCAUUCGGGAGACCACCACAGGACCCUUAAGCUGCUUCAUUGCGCAGUGGGAUCCCCUGUAACCCCAGACUUCAGUAAUAAUCCCACACAGAAAGGUCUUACGUGAGUGUUUUCUUGUGAAAAUUAAAGGAAAGUGCUGCUUUCAACAUCUGCCACAUUUGCAAGAAGAGCAAAGGUGGCCCAUUUGAGACCACCCUUGAACUAAACCAUCCAGUGAGCCCCUGAGGUCGGGACAGAAGUGGCCAUGACCUUCCUCAAGCAGGGACUGUGGUGGAGCCCACCUUAUCCAGCACAAGGUGGCCUGCUGACUUCUGGUGACAGUGAUGCCAACUUCCUGGCUGUCCAAGGUUCAAAUCUUGGUCUUAAUCCUCCUGGCCUUCUCUCAUCAAUGGCCAGAGCCACCCUAGCUAACAAGGUGCCCAGGGACUCCGGGGUGGGAGAAGUCCAGCUUCUUCUUAGCUGAGGACAUUUGAGUCUCGUCACAGCCCCCAAAAGAAUACUCAUUUUUGUAGCUGGAGGGCCUGGCCUCUGUCUAUCUUUGCUUUUCCAGAAGCUGACAAGUACCUGCCGGAAAAACUGCCUCUUUUCCCUCCCGUGCUUGGAGCAGGCAUUGCUGACAGAUCACAGCUGCUGGGCCCAAAGGUCCCUUUGCACGCGGGACUUCAGGAAGUUGCUGCUGACCUAUGGGAGUUGGUGCAGAAAGAUGAAAUUUGUUAUCCUUGGCUGUAUCAACUCUCUCUCCUCUCCUUGGUGGUGAUAGUUUUGUUCUUAAAAGCCUCUUGUGAGAGAAUUUGUGGAUGAAGAACCUGUAAGAUCACAAGUGAAACAAUUUAUUGAUGUCAAUAGAUUUAUACACGUUCAUUAAGAAUCAAAACUAAACUAAAACAUCAGUCUGACUAAAGAGACCACCACAGAUAUUUCAUAUGCUGUACAUCAGUAACAAAGGGUACCAAAUAGUUAAUAUCCAUGUACUAGUCACAUGAGAAAUGUUUUAGGGUCAUUGACCAGUGUAGUCAGUACAGUGGUCCCAUGGUAUUUGUGGGGGAUUGGUUCCAGGAAUCUCUUGGACACCAACUCCGUGGAUGAUCAGACAAUAUAAAAUGUGGGUCAGGUGCGGUGGCUCAUACCUGUAAUCCCAGCAUUUUGCGAGAAUCACUUGAGGCCAGUUCAAGAUCAGCCUGUGCAACAUAGCAAGACUCCACCUCUAAAAAAAAAAAAAAAAAAAAAAAUUAGCCCAGUGCAGCGGUGUGCACCUGUAGUCCCAGCUUCUCAUGAGGUUGAGGUGAAAAGAUCACUUGGGCCCAGGAGUUUGAGGCUGCAGUGAGCUGUGACUGCCACUGCACUCCAGCCUGAGUGACAAAGCAAGUCCCUGUCUCUUAAAAAAUAAAAUAAAAUAAUAGCAUUUGAAUGUAACCUACACACAUCUCCCAUAUACUUUAAAUCAUCUGUAGAUUGCUUAUAAUACCUAAUACACUGUAAAUGCUAUGUAAAUAGUUGUUAUUCUGUGUAGUUUUUAAAAACGUGUAUUUCUUAUUGUAUUUUUUUGUUUGUUUUUUGUUGUUUUUG
rnacentral:lncRNA from 1 species